GGGGAAUAUUGCACAAUGGGGGAAACCCUGAUGCAGCGACGCCGCGUGAGUGAAGAAGUACUUCGGUACGUAAAGCUCUAUCAGCAGGGAAGAAGAUGACGGUACCUGACUAAGAAGCCCCGGCUAACUACGUGCCAGCAGCCGCGGUAAUACGUAGGGGGCAAGCGUUAUCCGGAAUUACUGGGUGUAAAGGGAGCGUAGGUGGCGAAGCAAGCCAGAUGUGAAAGCCCGGGGCUCAACUCCGGGACUGCAUUUGAAACUGUUUUGCUAGAGUGCAGGAGAGGUAAGUGGAAUUCCUAGUGUAGCGGUGAAAUGCGUAGAUAUUAGGAGGAACACCAGUGGCGAAGGCGGCUUACUGGACUGUAACUGACGCUGAGGCUCGAAAGCGUGGGGAGCAAAC
rnacentral:rRNA from 1 species